rnacentral:rRNA from 1 species
GUGGGGAAUAUUCCGCAAUGGACGAAAGUCUGACGGAGCAACGCCGCGUGAGUGAUGAAGGUUUUCGGACUGUAAAGCUCUGUUGUUUAGGACGAAAGUGCCUGUUGCGAACAGUUACAGGUAUUGACGGUACUGAACGAGGAAGCCACGGCUAACUACGUGCCAGCAGCCGCGGUAAUACGUAGGUGGCAAGCGUUGUCCGGAAUUAUUGGGCGUAAAGAGCAUGUAGGCGGGAAUCUAAGUCUGUUGUGAAAAUGCUGGGCUCAACCCCGUAUUGCGAUGGAAACUGGGUUUCUUGAGUGCAGGAGAGGAAAGGGGAAUUCCCAGUGUAGCGGUGAAAUGCGUAGAUAUUGGGAGGAACACCAGUGGCGAAGGCGCCUUUCUGGACUGUGUCUGACGCUGAGAUGCGAAAGCCAGGGUAGCGAACGGGAUUAGAAACCCCUGUAGUCC